CACUUCUAAGGAAGGCAGCAGGCGCGCAAAUUACCCAAUCCUGACUCAGGGAGGUAGUGACAAGAAAUAACAAUAAACCGGCUUAUGCCGGUUUAAUUGGAAUGAGUACAAUUUAAACAUCUUAACGAGGAACAAUUGGAGGGCAAGUCUGGUGCCAGCAGCCGCGGUAAUUCCAGCUCCAAUAGCGUAUACUAAAGUUGUUGCAGUUAAAAAGCUCGUAGUUGGAUUUCUGUGGGGACGGAGCGGCCGGCCGCAACACGCGGUUCGAGCUAGCGCUUUCCCUACAUCCUGCCGCGAACCGUGCUACCAUUAGUUUGGUGGCGCCGGGGAUCGGCUCGAUUACUUUGAGAAAAAUAGAGUGUUCAAAGCAGGCCACAUGCCUUGAAUAAGUUAGCAUGGAAUAAUAACUAAGGACUUCGGUUCUAUUUUGUUGGUGUUCGGGACUGAAGUAAUGAUUGAUAGGGACAGUUGGGGCGGUCUGUAUUCCAAAGCGAGAGGUGAAAUUCUUAGACCUUCGGAAGACAAACAGCUGCGAAAGCGUUCCGCAAGGAUGUUCCCUUUGAUCAAGAACGAAAGUUGGGGGAUCGAAGACGAUCAGAUACCGUCGUAGUCUCAACUAUAAACUAUACCAGCUAGGGAUCGGCCAACGUUAUUUUAUACCGACUUGGUCGGCACCUUAUGAGAAAUCAAAGCAUCUGGGUUCCGGGGGGAGUAUGGUCGCAAGGCUGAAACUUAAAGGAAUUGACGGAAGGGCACCACCAGCCGUGGAGCCUGUGGCUUAAUUUGACUCAACACGGGAAAACUUACCAGGUCCAGACAUAGUAAGGAUUGACAGAUUGAUAGCUCUUUCUUGAUUCUGUGGGUGGUGGUGCAUGGCCGUUCUUAGUUGGUGGAGUGAUUUGUCUGGUUAAUUCCGUUAACGAACGAGACCCCAGCCUGCUAAAUAGCGCGCGUGAGCUUUGCUCGCGGCGAGCUUCUUAGAGGGACUCUGAUGCGCGAUAGCACAUGGAAGUUUGGGGCAAUAACAGGUCUGUGAUGCCCUUAGAUGUUCUGGGCCGCACACGGGCUACACUGGCGCCUGCAACGAGCAUAUCAGCUGGCCCGAGAGGGUCUUGGCUAAUCUUUUGAACCGGCGCCGUGCUUGGGAUUGACCUUUGCAAUUGUUGGUCGUGCAACGAGGAAUGCCUUGUAAACGCGAGUCAUCAGCUCGCAUUGAAUACGUCCCUGCCCUUUGUACACACCGCCCGUCGCUCCUACCGAUGAAUGUUCCGAUGAAAUUUUCGGAGAGCACCUGUGAACUUGGCUCUGCCUUGCGAACGGGAGGCUCAAAGUCACUUAAAUCUGAACAUUUCGA
rnacentral:rRNA from 1 species